AGUUUCUUCGGAAAUGAGUAAAGUGGCGAACGGGUGAGUAACGCGUGAGAAUCUGCCCUUUAGUGAAGGAUACCAUCGAGAAAUCGAUGUUAAUACUGCAUAUCUUUGCAAAAAGAAAGGUGGCCUAUAAGCUGCCGCUAAAGGAUGAGCUUGCGUGCUAUUAGCUAGUUGGUGGGGUAAUGGCCUACCAAGGCGAUGAUGGCUAGCCGGCCUGAGAGGGUGUACGGCCACAUUGGAACUGAGAAACGGUCCAGACUCCUACGGGAGGCAGCAGUGAGGAAUAUUGCACAAUGGGCGAAAGCCUGACGCAGCGACGCAGCGUGAGGGACGAAGGCCUUCGGGUUGUAAACCUCUUUCAGCGGGGACGAAGCGAGAGUGACGGUACCCGCAGAAGAAGCACCGGCUAACUACGUGCCAGCAGCCGCGGUAAUACGUAGGGUGCAAGCAUUGUCCGGAUUUAUUGGGCGUAAAGAGCUCGUAGGCGGCUUGUCACGUCGGGUGUGAAAACUCGGGGCUCAACCCCGAGCCUGCACUCGAUACGGGCUAGCUAGAGUGUUGCAGGGGAGACUGGAAUUCCUGGUGUAGCGGUGAAAUGCGCAGAUAUCAGGAGGAACACCGGUGGCGAAGGCGGGUCUCUGGGCAACUACUGACGCUGAGGAGCGAAAGCGUGGGGAGCGAACAGGAUUAGAUACCCUGGUAGUCCACGCCGUANACGUUGGGCGCUAGGUGUGGGGAACCUUCCACGUNCUCCGUGCCGU
rnacentral:rRNA from 1 species